AUCAACAAAUAUAUGAAAAACUGCUCAUCAUCUCUAGCAAUCAGAGAAAUGCAAAUCAAAAUUGCUCUAAGAUAUCAUCUCACUCCAGUCAGAAUGGCAGCUAUUAUGAAGACAAACAACAACAAGUGUUGGUGAGGAUGUGGGGAAAAAAGGUACACUCGUACACUGCCGGUGGGACUGCAAAUUGGUGCAACCAAUUUGGAAAGCAGUAUGAAGAUUCCUUGGAAAUCUGGGAAUGGAACCACCAUUUGACCCAGCUAUUCCUCUCCUCGGACUAUACCCUAAGGACUUAAAAAUAGUAUACUACAGGGACACAGCCACAUCAAUGUUUAUAGCAGCUAAACUGUGGAGCCAACCUAGAUGUUCUUCAGUGGAUGAAUGGAUUAAAAAAAGUGGCAUAUAUACACAAUGGAAUUUACUCAGCAUUAAGAAAGAACAAAAUCAUGGCAUUUGCAGGUAAAUGGAUGGCAUUGGAAAAGAUAAAUGCUAAGUGAAGUUAACCAAUCUCCAAAAAACAAAU
rnacentral:lncRNA from 1 species